CCUACGGGCGGCAGCAGUGAGGAAUAUUGGUCAAUGGACGAGAGUCUGAACCAGCCAAGUAGCGUGCAGGAUGACUGCCCUAUGGGUUGUAAACUUCUUUUAUAUGGGAAUAAAACGUUCCACGUGUGGUGUUUUGUAUGUACCACAUGAAUAAGGAUCGGCUAACUCCGUGCCAGCAGCCGCGGUAAUACGGAAGAUCCGAGCGUUAUCCGGAUUUAUUGGGUUUAAAGGGAGCGUAGAUGGGUUGUUAAGUCAGUUGUGAAAGGUUGCGGCUCAACCGUAAAAUUGCAAUUGAUACUGGCAGUCUUGAGUGCAGUUGAGGUAGGCGGAAUUCGUGGUGUAGCGGUGAAAUGCUUAGAUAGCACGAAGAACUCCGAUUGCGAAGGCAGCUUACGAAACUGCCACUGACGUUGAUGCUCGAAAGUGUGGGUAUCGAACAGGAUUAGAUACCCUGGUAGUC
rnacentral:rRNA from 1 species